rnacentral:other from 1 species
AGUUGCCUGCCGUGUUAGUCAGCUUCUACUUGUUUCGAACCUUGAUUUUUUUAAGGGAGUUCUAUAUUGAAGCACAGCCAACAGGCCAGCAUUUGUUCUGGACGUUGAACGGGCUUCUGCGAGCACCCACCUACGAGAGUAGGUUCAUGAAACAACUGAAGCAACGGCAUACGCGGGUUACCA